CUCUUCUUCAUUUUGUGUAUCAUACUAAUAACGCCUCAACAUCUAUAUCCUAAAUUUGAUUUAUCCUUCCAACAGGUACCAGUCUCUCUGUGAGCUGAGAUGCAAUGGAUUGAAUCAGACUGGUAUUGAACUCAUUUCCAUGGAUCUGAACACAGCUGAUCUUGACAGAACAUCGCUGCAGGGCACAGAUGACCACUGCGUAUCCAUCUUGUCUAGAUGAAAUCUGAACAGUGUCAUAUGAGAUGGACCUCACCCUGGAUUGGCUUAUUUAGAUCACAUACUGUAGAAGGUCCAAGCAGAUACAUUUCUUCAGAGACCCAUAAAUUCAAUAUUGCAUUAUGGUGGACAAAAAAAUAAAGGACAUAAUUGGAUUAAAUGGCUGUUGAAGAUGGAGUAUAUUUUGUCAAAGUAUGUAAUCUAUGCUAUGUCACCUCAUUGACAGCUAAAAGGGAGGGUUUAACGUGGUGCAUAAAAUCUUGAUAGAUCUACAACCACUUGCAACUAAAUACUUAUAUCUUUAUGCAACACACAGUUUUGCUUGUACUUUUGAUGUUAUAAAAGCAGCUUGUUUCUGUGCUUUCUGAC
ensembl:lncRNA